GUGGACUUUGUAUACAAAAGCAGGGGGUUUGAUGAAUUUUUUUAAACGCUUUUUUUCACAUUAUUUGUGUUGUCUACAUUACGUUGAGGUGUUUUCGUAAUGAAAAAUCUGAAACUCAAUGCUGAACUAACUGCAGACGUCGAGUGGCAGUCGUUGUAUUAAGACGUGUUUUACGGAUCUAAAAUCAAAAUAAAUUUGUUUUAAUUAAAAAAAAAACAUAUAUAAAAAUUUUAAGAAAAACUAGUUUUAAAUUUCUUUUUUAAUAAAAAGAAGAAA